AAUAAAGAUAGAGAUGUGGAAAGAAUACACAGGAGUGGUGUCAACACCCUUGAUAUUGAGCCUGUUGAGGGAAGAUACAUGUUAUCUGGUGGAUCAGAUGGUGUUAUUGUGCUUUAUGACCUUGAAAACUUGAGCAGAAAACCAAGUUACACAUGUAAAGCACUUUGUUCUGUGGGAAGGAUAAAAAGACUGCAGAAAAUAGUACCAGAAAUCUGAAGGCUAGCACGAUGCAUUAUGGGUUUUGGCAUGGAAAAAAAAAAAAGAAAACAAACAAAAAAAGGAAGAAACUUUGUGAGGAUUUAUAUGAUUUACUAAGUAGCAGGAGCUAAUUGUUUUUUCUUGAUUUUUCUGCUCUAACAGUUACGAUAUAUGUACAAUGGCUCUCUGAUAUUGUUUGAGCAGAUUUUUGGCGGUUCAAAAGUUAAAAUGGAGGAUAUUAACUGUACUCAUAUGGAAUCUAAAGUAGAGAGGCUUGUAUUGCUGUAGACCCUGCAAAAAAGUCAGAGUUAGUACUCCAAUCUCACAUUUUAACACUAGAAAAAAGACAAAAAAAAACCCCAACCCUUUUCCAGGUCACAGUUCCUCACCUGUGAGUUUUCUAAUUGUUUCAUGUUGAAAUUUGCUGACUCUGUACCAGUAACUAUGAGAAGGUAAUUUUGGGACUGUUGCAGAAAUAUUCCUUGUAUCCGUCAAAUACACAUAUUAUAUGUAUCUUUGAAUAAAUCUGUGUUUAAGCAAAAGGAAAACUAUCUUUGCAUAACCCUGUUCAUGUGAUUGAAAAAAAAUCUAAUACAGAUUUGCAGUUGUUGGUUUUAUUUCUCUUCUCCCUGCUCCCAGCUUUACUAAUAGCUGUGUUAAGUUCACCAGGUGUUCACCAAGUACAGGAGUAAUUAAUACAGAUCUUAAGAGUUUGUUUGAAUGAAAACAGAUGUGUUACUGACAAAAAUGGGAC
rnacentral:lncRNA from 1 species